rnacentral:rRNA from 1 species
GGCUCAGAGCGAACGCUGGCGGCAGGCCUAACACAUGCAAGUCGAACGAACUCUUCGGAGUUAGUGGCGGACGGGUGAGUAACACGUGGGAACGUGCCUUUAGGUUCGGAAUAACUCAGGGAAACUUGUGCUAAUACCGAAUGUGCCCUUCGGGGGAAAGAUUUAUCGCCUUUAGAGCGGCCCGCGUCUGAUUAGCUAGUUGGUGAGGUAAAGGCUCACCAAGGCGACGAUCAGUAGCUGGUCUGAGAGGAUGAUCAGCCACAUUGGGACUGAGACACGGCCCAAACUCCUACGGGAGGCAGCAGUGGGGAAUCUUGCGCAAUGGGCGAAAGCCUGACGCAGCCAUGCCGCGUGAAUGAUGAAGGUCUUAGGAUUGUAAAAUUCUUUCACCGGGGACGAUAAUGACGGUACCCGGAGAAGAAGCCCCGGCUAACUUCGUGCCAGCAGCCGCGGUAAUACGAAGGGGGCUAGCGUUGCUCGGAAUUACUGGGCGUAAAGGGAGCGUAGGCGGACAUUUAAGUCAGGGGUGAAAUCCCGGGGCUCAACCUCGGAAUUGCCUUUGAUACUGGGUGUCUUGAGUAUGAGAGAGGUGUGUGGAACUCCGAGUGUAGAGGUGAAAUUCGUAGAUAUUCGGAAGAACACCAGUGGCGAAGGCGACACACUGGCUCAUUACUGACGCUGAGGCUCGAAAGCGUGGGGAGCAAACAGGAUUAGAUACCCUGGUAGUCCACGCCGUAAACGAUGAUUGCUAGUUGUCGGGAUGCAUGCAUUUCGGUGACGCAGCUAACGC